UAACAUCUCUUAGAUAAAGCAGACCGGUACGCUUAUGGAAACAGUGACGACCUGGACUGGGAUCCAAAGACAAAAGACAUUGCAGAUGCAUCUGAACACACAUUCUCAUCUAGAAAAGAGAAAGACCCGUCCUGUAAGGCAGUUCUUCUGGCUGUCCUUAGUGUCUCUCUGCUGGUGGCUCUGCUGGCUCUGUGUGUACUGGGAAUUCUCUAUUCCCAACUACUGAGGUCAUCUGAUUUGUUAAAAGAGCAAAACAGAAAUGCUGCAGUCAACAUUGAAAU